GCCAGUGUAGCUCAGUUAGCCAGAGCACCGCAUUCGUAAUGCGACGGUCAUCGGUUCGAAUCCGAUCCCUGGCUCCA
rnacentral:tRNA from 1 species